rnacentral:lncRNA from 1 species
AUGCUAUUACAACACCACAGACUAUAUUCCCUAUGCUGUGCCUUUUAUCCCCGUGAAUUAUUUGUUCCACAACUGGAAGCCUGUCCCUCCCCCUCCCCUUCACCCAUUGUGCCAAUCCAACCCCUCAAGUCUCAGUUUUAUGUCUGGCAGCCUCUGACUUGUUCUUUAUCCUCCAGUGAUGCAAGCUGCCAGCCAUUCUCAUCCUACGCAUACACACUCCCUGUCCUCCCCAACCUUCGUCUCCUCUUGACAGCUCUGCCUGGAAUGCCUUUCCCCAUUGACUCCUUGGCAAGUUCCUAUUUCUCCUUUCGGACUUGGUCCUGCCCCCGCUCCUCCAUCAGUCAAGUCUUUCCACCUCACACCCCUUCUGUGUUGCACAACUCCAAAUGUCUGACGGGCUGCUUUGCGUUAGGAAGGAGACAGACAACAGAAACUACAUGUAGGGGUGGUCUUCAGGUUCUUAUGAUUAUUUGGGGAAAAGAGGCAAAAUACCCUGGAGCAGAGCAGCAUGAGCAGUCCAGGAAAGGGCCAUGCAAGGAGACUGAUGAAGUCCUUUGGAUUUUCUGAGCUUCUGUGAACCACAUAAAGAAGAGAAACCAAGUAGGAGGACCUUAGUCUCUGAAUUGUCUGAGAGCCCUGGAAAUCCAGAGAUGAUGCUCAGGCCCUCAUUUUCACCUUUUAGAAAAAAAAAUGAUUAGUGGAAGGUAGUUGAGGCAAACAGCCGCUACAUACUUUCUCUCCUACAGAAGGGAAAAACAUCUUGCUGCCAUCCCUGGUCUGAAUGCGGGGUCAUCUGUGGGGCUGGUCAGAUGUCUGAAGGCCUCUUAUAAAUGAGAUUCCUGACAGAAUGAAUAUACAAUGGCCAGACUAUCUGUAAAAAUAGGACUCAGACCUACAACCUGCUGUAGCCAGCAGCCUUGGAAGCCAGCCGGCCAACAACAGUAAGCAGUCCAAGAAGCCAAACCGUAAGCCCUGGGGGGUUCUGUAGAGCUGCCCCAUGCCUGCAUCUUCCAAUCAGGUCAGACUUGAAGCCUUCUUUUUUUCCACUAUAAGACUUUCUCAGUCUUCUGCUUGCCUCUGAGUCUCUGCCAAAUGUAAGUGAUGUUGCUAGAGCAACCUCUGAAUAAUAGUAUGUUUAUUGUUUUUAUUUGACAGGGGUUAGUGAGAAACUGCUGAGAGGUGUACCAUUAGAUGUGAACUUUGAGGACCAUGGGUGUGGUCCCAGCAUUUAUGCAGACAACAAUUUCUGAGUCCCAUUUUAUAGGUAAAGCAAGGGAGAUAUAAGAAGGCCAAAGGACAUGCUGACAGUCACAGAACCAAUGACAGAGUGGGAAUCCAGAGCUAUCUUUGAUCUCAUACAAAAUAGUGCUCUUUCCAGCACAAACAUGCCCAAUCCUGGUCAAUGUUUGUAGAUGAAGAAGACAUUCUCCAAUAUUCUAAGAAAAGGAAAAUGGAUCAAAAGUGAAAAAAAAAUAAACAGAAUACCCAGAGCUUAAAGGAACCUCUU